rnacentral:rRNA from 1 species
AUGGCCCCACAGCGGCGUGCCCCCGGCGAUCCCCCACCAGUGUACGGACCGAUGGAAGAGCGAUUCUCUGUAGAGAUUAAUCACGCUGGUCUGUUUUGCGGUUCUGGAAUGAACAAGGCAUAUUUCGAUGGCCGGGUUGAUCACUUUGAUGGUUGUGAGGUAGAAACCUGGUCUCCAUUGUGGAUAUAUCAUUUUGUGGGGCAGCUUGGGCAUGAUCCAGCUAGGGUGGAGUUGUACUGGUUACUUCCUGGAAAACAUUUGCAUGAUGGGCUUCGCAUAAUUCAGAGUGAUGCUGAUACUCUGAUGAUGAGUGUCGUUGUUCCCAAAUUUCAGUAUUUCCAACUGUAUGUGGACCAAAAAUAUUUAUCGGAUGAUAUCUAUGUAAUUGGCUCUCCAACAUUGCCAGUGGUUCUUAGCCCUCGAACAGAGAUAAACGUGCCAAUAUUUUGUGAUGAUGCUGCCAGCCCAAAUAGUAGGCGAAGGUGCAAGGUCAAAGCAGUCAAGGGAAAUUUGCAAAACUGUUUCUCACCCAAUACAAAAGGCAGUGGAGAUAAAGAUAAGGAUGACUCGGAUGACAGUGAUAGCAAUUAUGGCGACAAUUUGGUUGACUCGGAUAAUGAAUUCGACAAGGAUGAUGAUGAUCUCUUCGCAUAG